UACGUAGGGUGCAGGCGUUAAUCGGAAUUACUGGGCGUAAAGCGUGCGCAGGCGGUUUGCUAAGACAGGUGUGAAAUCCCCGGGCUUAACCUGGGAACUGCGCUUGUAACUGGCAAGCUUGAGUGUGGCAGAGGGGGGUGGAAUUCCACGUGUAGCAGUGAAAUGCGUAGAGAUGUGGAGGAGCACCGAUGGCGAAGGCAGCCCCCUGGGCUAACACUGACGCUCAUGCACGAAAGCGUGGGGAGCAAACAGG
rnacentral:rRNA from 1 species